UACGUAGGGUGCAAGCGUUGUCCGGAAUUAUUGGGCGUAAAGAGCUCGUAGGCGGUUCGUCGCGUCGGCUGUGAAAACCUGAGGCUCAACCUCAGGCCUGCAGUCGAUACGGGCGGACUUGAGUACUGCAGGGGAGACUGGAAUUCCUGGUGUAGCGGUGAAAUGCGCAGAUAUCAGGAGGAACACCGGUGGCGAAGGCGGGUCUCUGGGCCGAUACUGACACUGAGAAGCGAAAGCGUGGGGAGCGAACAGG
rnacentral:rRNA from 1 species